UUUUUGUGACUGAGUGGCGGACGGGUGAGUAACGCGUGGGUAACCUGCCUCAUACAGGGGGAUAACAGUUGGAAACGACUGCUAAUACCGCAUAAGCGCACAGGAUUGCAUGAUCCAGUGUGAAAAACUCCGGUGGUAUGAGAUGGACCCGCGUCUGAUUAGCCAGUUGGCGGGGUAACGGCCCACCAAAGCGACGAUCAGUAGCCGACCUGAGAGGAUGUACGGCCACAUUGGGACUGAGACACGGCCCAGACUCCUACGGGAGGCAGCAGUGGGGAAUAUUGCACAAUGGAGGAAACCCUGAUGCAGCGACGCCGCGUGGAGGAAGAAGGUUUUCGGAUUGUAAACUCCUGUCGUUAGGGACGAUAAUGACGGUACCUAACAAGAAAGCACCGGCUAACUACGUGCCAGCAGCCGCGGUAAAACGUAGGGUGCAAGCGUUGUCCGGAAUUACUGGGUGUAAAGGGAGCGCAGGCGGACCGGCAAGUUGGAAGUGAAAACUAUGGGCUCAACCCAUAAAUUGCUUUCAAAACUGCUGGCCUUGAGUAGUGCAGAGGUAGGUGGAAUUCCCGGUGUAGCGGUGGAAUGCGUAGAUAUCGGGAGGAACACCAGUGGCGAAGGCGACCUACUGGGCACCAACUGACGCUGAGGCUCGAAAGCAUGGGUAGCAAACAGGAUUAGAUACCCUGGUAGUCCAUGCCGUAAACGAUGAUUACUAGGUGUUGGAGGAUUGACCCCUUCAGUGCCGCAGUUAACACAAUAAGUAAUCCACCUGGGGAGUACGACCGCAAGGUUGAAACUCAAAGGAAUUGACGGGGGCCCGCACAAGCAGUGGAGUAUGUGGUUUAAUUCGAAGCAACGCGAAGAACCUUACCAGGUCUUGACAUCCGAUGCAUAGUGCAGAGAUGCAUGAAGUCCUUCGGGACAUCGAGACAGGUGGUGCAUGGUUGUCGUCAGCUCGUGUCGUGAGAUGUUGGGUUAAGUCCCGCAACGAGCGCAACCCUUGCUAUUAGUUGCUACGCAAGAGCACUCUAAUAGGACUGCCGUUGACAAAACGGAGGAAGGUGGGGACGACGUCAAAUCAUCAUGCCCCUUAUGACCUGGGCUACACACGUACUACAAUGGACAUUAACAGAGGGAAGCAAUACAGUGAUGUGGAGCAAACCCCUAAAAAUGUUCUCAGUUCAGAUUGCAGGCUGCAACCCGCCUGUAUGAAGAUGGAAUUGCUAGUAAUCGCAGAUCAGCAUGCUGCGGUGAAUACGUUCCCGGGCCUUGCACUCACCGCCCGUCA
rnacentral:rRNA from 1 species